CAGUUUUCAGAAUGUGACAAAUUCAUCUAUAUAUAAAUGGUUACCUUGUGGACAGAUGCAUUGCAACAACGUUAAUCAAACUAUCUGCCAAUUCAAUGUCAUAUCUCCUGUACAAAAUCCACGUAACUUAGGAAGUAUAAAGUCUGCUGACUUUACAGUUGAUGAAGGAAAUGUAAUUUUGACAUACAGCGAUCCAUCAGGAAAAACUCAAAGUGCAGUAACAUUGGUCUGCUCUAAAGAAGAGGAAGCAACCUUUUUUUUUACUGGACAAUAUGCCUUGUUAGAUUAUCGAAAUUAUAAAUUUCAACUGCAGAGUAAACACUUUUGUCACUGGACAAGAAAAAACACUUUUGUCCUGUCAACAGGAACAAUAAUUUGCAUAGUUCACCCGUCUACCAAAUCCGCUCACAAACAUUUGGUCGGCCCGAGACCAUAGGAGAAGACAAGUGGGCAAAGCACCACCCAGUGGAACUGAACCUGCAGCCAUGUGGUAGUAGUAACGGUUACUGCCCUCCUUUGACAUUGAUGCUGCUGCUGCUGAUGAUGAUGAUGACGGUGAUGAAGAAGAAGAAGUUGAUGGUGACGAUGGUGAUGAUGAUGAGGCGGUUGAUGAUGACGAUAAUGAUGGUGAUGAUGAUCAUGGUAACGACAAUGACGGCAACGCCGACGAUGAUGAUAAUGGUGAUGGUGACGAUGAUGGUGACGAUGAUGAUGAGGAGGAGGAUGUUGUUGAUAUGAUAAUCAUGAGAUGAUGGUGAAGACGAUGAUGAUGAUGAUGAUGGUGAUGAUGAAGACAAUGAAGAAGUUGAUGAUGAUGUUGGUGAUGAUGGUGAUGAUGUUGAUGAUGAAUAUGAUGAUGAUGAUGAUGAUGAUGAUGAUGAUGAUGAUGAUGAUGAUGAUGGUGGUAACGAUGAUGGUGUUAAUGAAGAUGAUGAUGAUGAUUACGAUGAUGAUGGUGACGACGACGACGACGACAAAAAAAGAAGACGAAAAAGAAAAGGAAGAAGAAGAAGAAGAAGAAGAAGAAGAAGAAGAAGAAGAAGAAGAAGAAGAAGAAGAAGUUGAUGAUGAUGAUGAUGAAGUUGGUGAUGAUGUUAAAAGUGUUAGGAAUGCUGGGGGUCCGCGAUAUUGAUGUUUGGUAGUGGCGGUGAUGCCGGUGUUUGGUGGUGGUAACGGGUUUUGAUGUUAUUGUUAGCGGUGGCGGUGAUGGUGUUGAUGGUGGUAGUGGUGGUGGUGGUUCUGUUGGUGGUGAUGGUGGUGGUGGUGGUGGUGGUAGUGGUGAUGCCAUUAGUAUUGGUUAUAGUGAUAUUAGUAGAAGCCUUGAUGUUGGUAGUAGUACAGCUGUAGUUUUAGUGAAAGAAUUAAGGGCAAUUCUACUGGCAUCGAUGUGAAUAAUGCGCGGUUUUUGGUAGCAGUGCUUUUAGGAUCAGAAGAUCUAUAUACAGAGCGGGGCUGGAAACAUCCUGCUUCAUUUAAGUUAGGAAUGUUCUUGACUUUAUUUCAGGUAUUGAUUCAAAAUAUUCCAUCAUUGUUGUAUGAUCAACCCUAAAUUUGGUUACGUAGCACACUCUUUUAUAUCUAUAUAUGGAGUAAAAUUAAUGACCCGGUUGCAUCUUGCUUUAAUUUUGGUGACUUCUCAGUCAAUAUUAGUCGGUAUAUUUACUUUAGCUGCAUGAAAGAAAAACUGGCUCUCCGUUGGUUAUGUUGGGGUUUCCUGUUGAUCCGAUAAACGGAACAGCCUGCUCGUGAAAUUAACGUGCAAGUGGCUGAGCAUUCUACUGGCACGUGUAUCCUUAACUUGGUUCUUAGGGAGAUUCAGCGUGACACAGAAUGUAACAAGGCUGGCUUUUGAUUUAAAGGUACAAUUCACUUUUGCCAGCUGGAUGGAGUGGAACAACGUGAAACAAAGUGUCUUGCUCAAGGACACACCGCGUCGCCAGGAAUCGAACUCACGUCCGUGAGCCGAAUACUCUUAACCACUAAACCACGCCUCAUCACACUUGUGUGAAAGAGAACUACGUGAUAAUCACUCGAGCUUUUUUGAAGGGUGAUUUUCGGAAAAGAGUUGGUUUUAACCAACUCCCACUGAGAGCGUUAUGAGCUUAAAACAGAAUGGCCGAUGCCAAUGAGCGGUGCUGGGUAUUUAGAGGGUGUUAUGAGUUUUCUAAGAUAUAAAGUAUUUAAACUAAGUACUUUAUUUUAAAUGCAAUUUUGAAAAUAUCUCCGUCAGGACUGGGAUUAAAUUAUGAAAUGAAAAAUCAUAUCAGCGAGCAAAGCCAUAACUACUGAUGCACCAAAGCCUAAUAUAAUUAUACUAUACAAGUCCUUGCCGUCUUUAUUAAUUUUCUUAAAAAAUAUGCAUAGGGGCACUAGUUCAUAGAAAGGCCCAUGAUUUUUGGAAUGGAAUAAGAAAAUAUUGAUGAUAAAUCUCUGCGCAAAAUUAGCUUCUGCUUUAUUAAAAUAAUCCACGAAACAUAGUGAUGGGGAGCUUUAUAAGAACACUAUUCAUGAAAAAGUGUACUGAGCUACAAUCGACUGAGAAUCGCUGGUGUAGACUUUAAAAUGGCAACGUAUCUAUUUGGUCUCAAAAGUGAGUUGCUACACAAAUAAUCUGUGCAUUUUAUGACUUUUGAGUCGGCAGAAACGAAAAUGACCAAAAGAUAAUUGAAGAGCGAUUUAAUAUAUAUACCUGCAUAUCAUACUUAAUGUAUAUCGUUGAAGGACUAAUUACUGCAGUACUCGUCCUAUAUAUCGGAGGCGACAAAUAUCGUCUAGGAAUGUGGUUGGCUGUGAAUACACGCCAUUGACAAACCUCAACUAUGCCGAAAUGCACUUGGCAUUCUCGCUUACCGCUACCGGGACAAUUUUCAUCUCAUUCCGAUAUGAUUAUAUUUUUAAACACGUUCACAAGAGACGUUAUCUUUGAGUGAAUAUCGCUGUAACUAGCCUUUCAACGCUGUAUAUAAGUAUGAUAUAUAGAUAGCUAUUUUAAUCUAAUACUGCUUCAAUUGUGUACCAAAGAACCUGACAUUGGUGCUUUACUAUUUAAGGACCUGAUCCGCUUGAAUCCUGAACUUUUAUAGGUGUGUGUGUUUGGGUGUGUGUAGAGAAAGAGGGGGAGAGAGACGUGUGUUUGAUGUAUGUACACACACAAGAUAGAGUUUACGCAAUCGUUAAUCCAAGUUUCAUGUAAACGCUUUGGUUGUAUCAUAAAAACCAAGGUUUACUACUCACAAAAUUCUGGUGAUUUAAGCGAAGAAUGAGUAAGUAUUUGAAUACAAUCAUACCAUGAUGUCAGAUGUUACUACUGGAACCAGUGUAAGUGGGACCGUUCUGAUAAUUCUUACCGUAGAAAUCCUAUAAUAGAUGCUUCUUAUGGGUUGAAUAACUGAUCGUUUUAUAAGCCUUAAUUAUAUAUUUUUAGUUACAAUUUCAGUAACAUCUGAUGUAUGGCUGCACAAUAAGAUUUUGUGUCGAAAGAAGCUGAUUUGGUGAUAUAUGGUGGUUGAAAGAAACAUAUGAUAUUUUAAUCCUUUCUACUAUAGGCACAAGGCCUGGAAUUUUGAGGGAAGGGGUCAAGUUGAUUACAUCGUCCUCAGUGCUUGACUGAUACUUAUUUCAUCGGCCCCGGAAAGAUGAAAAGCAAAGUCGACCUCGGAGACGCUUGAACUCAGAACCUAAAAACGGAGGAAAUGUUGUUAAGUAUUUUCUCGGGCGUAAUAACGAUUCUGCCAGCUCGCCUCUUUAGGGAUCCUGUAAUAAAUUAACAACAUUAUUUUUGUGUCAAAAUGGUAGACUAGUUAUUAAUUAGAACUGAGUCAAAUUUGAAAUCAGCGCUAAAAUAUUUCCCAGAGAAUCUAACUUCUAAGGGUAUGAAAUGUUUUGGCACAGCCGUUUUGGCUCUGCCUUUUUGGUGUCACUGAUUCGGCGCUGACAUGGUUGACAUCAGACAUCUUAAUUUUUCGUUUUAUUCUUCCUUCUCUUCCUGCCUCUCUCCCUCCUUCUAUCCCCUUCCUCCCCUCUCUUUGUUUAUAUAUAUGAGAUUGAGAGGGAAAGUGUCUAUAUCAAUCAUUUUCAAUUAAUAAUUGUAAUCACUCUCUGUCUGUCUGUCUGUCUGUCUGUCUGUCUGUCUCUCUUUCUCUGUAUGUGUACAUCUUUGCACAUGUGUGGAUGUGUUUGCCUCCAGUUCCAAAACGUACUGUCACCAAGACAGGCUGAACGUCCGGUCAGCCGUGCCAAAUCUUCAGCCGCAACUCAUCGUUUCAUUCAUGAGGCACCUAAAUGUAUGUUAUUUUGUUGCUAUUGUUCCUAUUGAUUUUGCCCAUGUUUAUCCGUAAGAAAUGAAGAUAGUUUUAGUGUGGACGUUAGAUUUGGUGGAGAAUAAUGCGGUGGUAAUAUUAGUGGUCAUAUUGUUAGUGUCUGUGAUAUUUGUGAUGGUGAUGAUUUUAGUUAUGAUGAUGAUGUUAAAGAUAUCACUGAUGUGAAUUAUGGUGCUGAUGUUUGACUUGGUUAUUGGGAUGAUGGUGAUAAUUGUUAAUUACGGAUCAGCUCUGAUCGAGCAGAUUUAUGACUGAAAGCAUUCUGGUCAUUUGCCUGCUGACAAUUGAGAGUGAGUUGUGGGAGUUUCGACUGUUAUCUCUAAUUAGUUGAAUGGCCGUGUAGAAGCUUCCUCGUUUGUUUGAUAGUUUGGAUGAUGCUAGUGGUAGUGAUUGAUGUCUGUGCUGAUGAUGUUGCUGUUCUUAAGACCCAGUUAUUCACUAACUGAAUAAACCUAUAAUCAAAAGCAUUGUAGUUAUUGCCAUCUCGUCCUUUACUCAAGCAUUUCCCGCUUUUCAACCUAGAGGGCAUAAUGUAUGAGAGAGUCAUUUCUAGUAAGGUCAAGCAACCACUUAAAGACUCCUUUAGUUGAUGGUACUGUUGUGGUUGGGAAGUCCGAAGUCUGCCUGGAUGGAGUAGUCAUGUUAUAUACUGAAAGUCGGCCAAAUGGCGUAAAACUGUCCAGAGAUAAAGCUGCUGGGUUAUGUCAUUUUUCCGACAAGCUAAGGACCAUACUGUAUUCCAACAUGUAGUAAUGAAUUAAACACAAUGCAGCCUGUUAGUUGAACAUAAUACAACCGCCACAUCGUCUAAUCUAAUAGUAAGCGCCCAUAGGUUGUGGUGGUCGUUAUAGAGGAAGUACUAAGGUAGUCUCGGUGAGAGGGCGACUGUUUUGAGAGGGUUUUGGAGGCAUUGAAGAUACUGAUCUAGCUAUUUCUGCAUUUUAUGCAUAUCUCGGUUAAAUCGGACAGAUAGGGAUUUUACUAUGUUUCUAUAGUAGAAAUCUGGGACGUUGAAGUUUGCCACGUUUGGAAGUUACGCCUCCCGCAUGUCCAGGUUGUCUUUCAUUUUUAUAUUUUUGUUUCGUUGUGUAAAAGGUUUAGGAUAUGGUAUGGUAUGGUCUGGUGCAUAGUUGUGCGCCCUCUUGUGUAUUUAAAAUUUUAUUGCUGUUCCUGGCGGAGAGAUUGCAGCUGAAGAUAAAACUAGCAUAGCCCAUUGGUAGUUUUAUCUUAUGUAUUGUUUAUGCACCAUUGUUGUUACAGUCUUGUGGCCAGCCAAAAGCGGCAUCUGUGAAUGCUCCAAGUAUAUUUCGCUUUCUUCUUACUGAAUCUCCUAAGACUGUUGUGAAUAUGUGUGGAAGGUUGUCUGUUGCUGAAACCAUCUUAUAUUUUCUCUGUCACUGUUUGUGUGGUGGCUGAGUGUGGUGAUCUGAAUCUGUACUAUUGUUUGGAUAGUUAGGUUUAUAAUAAUAACUUAGAUAACUUGAAUAUAUUUCGGCCAAAGAUUGGCUCAAGCCAUAUCUAACUUGAUAGCAUUACCUGGUAGGAUCUGUUAAGUCAUUUUGAAGUCAGGUUUUGUGGUAUCAUGGCCGAUUCGAAUAGAGAAUUGUUGUUGACUUAGAUGUAUCCAGGUAUAGGUGGCGUAUCUGAAGGAUUUAUCUUUGUCGAAUUUCUGUGCACAGGAGGGUGACCUUACUUCACUUGAGUAUUUGUGGGGCUUUGAGUUGUCAUAAGCUCACUCAACUCCAGAUGCUGGUACGAGUAGUUGUAAAUUUUGGUGGGUGACAUGAUUCCUUCAGUGUUUAUAAGUAUUUCGCAUAUUUUUCUCUGAUUUUGCCUGGGCUUGACGCUUUAAGCUAUUCAAUGUUUCUUUAUUGCUUUGCGGAUCCCUAAUGAAAUGAAGGGGUUAAACUCGCAGCCAAGAUAGAGGGGCAUACGUUUCGUUUUAUGUUUCCGCUUGCUUUGUGGCUGAUUAUUAAGAAAUAUCUGAUAAGGGCGUUUGCUUGCAGUUGCAGUGUGAACGUACUUUUUGACGUUACUAUUAUGACACGGGGUGUGGUGUUACUGUUGACGAUUACACUACUAAUAUAUUCUAUAUAGUGUUUUAAUCUUUUGUGGCUUAUGUUGGAUACAAAUGCUU